GAGGAUUCCAGCAUCCGCCCUCCUGGACCCUCUUCCUCCCCAGUGACAACUUGGUAUCAGAGAGUUGGCGCAAGUGGGGGUCUCUGCACACCCAUCUUUUCAGAUGAAGAAGCUGCAGUAUGAAGUCAUGAGUAGCUCACCCAAGGCCGCAUACAACUAUUCCUGGGAGAGAACGAGCCAGUCCUGCUAUUCUCCACACCCUGGUUUGGGAGAGGUCGAUGGCUGGAGCGAGGUCACAGAUCAAGUGAGCAGCAUGUGGCUUAAAUCCGAAUCAAGACCCUCCGUCCCAGCAGCCUCGGUCGGAGGGGCUGCCUGACCUGGGGCCCGGGCCACAUUCCAAAUGGGGCAAUCUGCAGGAAGAUGUCCAUGGCUCCAGGAGCGCCGUGAAUUUAGCAAGAGGUGGGAGAGACCCCCUCGGCAGGACUUCUAAAAAUAAACAGUAGCAGUGCUCGCAUGUCACGCUUGAAGCACUUCCGGAAGCCCCUAAGUUGAGGCAUUUCUGCACAGUCUCUCUGCAACCCCCCGAACCCCAAGUGCUGGAACUGCUGACCCUCCGGUGUCUGCCGGUGACCAGCUGGCCCGCAGCCCUGGAGGGUCUUCCUUCCGGUCAUUCUCAGAGGAGGCCAGGCUGGCACGUGGCUCGGUGUCCUCCCUGCCAUCUCUGCAGUCACGUUCCCCCGUCGGUUUGCACAAAGCGAGCUGAAGGCACUGAGCAGACUUGGCUUCCAGAGAGCCUUAUCUGCAGUGAGUUUAGUUUUCCUGUUUUAUUUAUUUUAUCAAACUCUGUGACUCAUUCUACCCCUUACCUUAUCUUAGUAAGCCUGCUUUUUAUUAUAAAAGCUCUUCCCUUCCAUUUAAAAAUCAGGGGAUAAAGAAUAAAGCAAGAACCCCAGGCCUCCAACACAACCAUUAUUUGUUUUCCUGCAAGCUUACUUUCCAUGUGUAAGUCUGUGCGUUUUGCUUAUUUUUUUUUACAG